GUUUCCCCUCUGGCAUUGGUGCGAGCCGCCUGACGUCACAUCCGCUCCCGCAAUUCCGAAUCUGGAACCCGCGCGAUGAAGAGAGCGUUUGUGACUGUCGGGACCACCAGUUUCGACGAGCUCGUCGCACGGGUGGUCGCUAACGACUGCGUUCAGAUCCUCGAGAGUCUGGGUUACAACCAUCUUGUCCUCCAAGUUGGUAGAGGCACUGUGGUGCCCAAACCAUUCCGUACUGAGUCAUUCACUCUGGAUGUUUACAGGUAUAAGGAUUCUUUGAAAGAAGACCUUCAGCAAGCUGAUCUUGUCAUUAGCCACGCAGGUGCAGGAAGCUGUUUGGAGAGUCUGGAGAAAGGCAAACCACUUGUGGUAGUUGUAAAUGAAAAGUUAAUGAACAAUCAUCAAUUUGAAUUGGCAAAGCAGUUGCACAAAGAAGGCCAUCUCUUUUAUUGUACCUGCAGGGUCCUGUCUUGUCCUGCGCCAGUCAGCCUCUUGCUUGUGCUUCUGGGAAGUGCCAAGAUUCUGCAGCAACUGCCUUCUGCCUAGACCUUGAGCUGCUUCGGAUACCUGCCUACACAAGCUCCAGUACUUGUGGCCACUGCCUAUUCUUACCUGCAUUCUGUGUUUUCCUCUUUUCCACCCCUCUCUACCUUUCUCAUCAUCCCAUGCACAAUGCAAAAAGGAUGGAAAAAGUACUGCGGCCAGAAGUCUUUGAAUGAGGCAUCAAUGGAUGAAUAUUUAGGCAGUUUAGGGCUGUUUCGAAAGGUGGUUGCCAAGGAUGCCUCUUGCCUCUUUCGUGCUAUUUCCGAGCAGUUGUUUCACAGCCAGAUCCAUCAUUUACAGAUCAGGAGAGCUUGUGUCUCAUAUAUGAAGGAAAACCAACAAGCUUUUGAGUCUUAUGUGGAGGGAUCUUUUGAGAAAUAUCUGGAACGGUUGGGAGAUCCCAAGGAGAGUGCUGGCCAGCUGGAACUAAAAGCUCUUUCUCUAAUUUAUAAUCGAGAUUUCAUUAUUUAUCGUUAUCCUGGAAAGCCACCAACUCAAGUCACAGAUAAUGGCUUUGAAGACAAGAUUAUUCUCUGUUAUUCAAAUAAUGGCCAUUAUGAUUCUGUAUAUUCAAAAGAAUUUCAAUCAACUGCAGGAAUUUGUCAAGCUAUAUUAUAUGAACUUCUUUAUAAAGAUGUAUUUGUUGUGGAUGAAGAAACGUUGAAAACUGCAGUCGAUUUAUUUCGAAGUGGUUCCAGGAGAAACAAACACCAUGCUUUGACUGCAAGUGUAGAAGGCAGUAGUGAUCAGAAGAGUUCAACCGAAGAUAGAACUGAAGAGGCUGCCGCCUGUUCCAGUGCUGCAAGUACACCAGAAGGCAAUAAGCAAGGGACAGAAAGACAAAAGGUUCCAGAAAGUCCGUCAAAGAUGCUGUUUCCCUAUAAGGUGCUGAAAGCUCUGGAUCCAGAAAUCUAUCGAAAUGUGGAAUUUGAUGCUUGGUUGGACAGUAGAAAAGAACUUCAAAAAUCAGAGUGUGUGGAGUAUGGUGGAAGAUAUUACUUUUUAGGAGACAAAUGUCAGGUUUGCAUGGAAUCAGGUGGAAAAUAUUAUAAUGCUCACAUUCAGGAAAUUGAUAAUGAUAAAAGUUCAGUAGUAGUUUUCAUUGAGGAAUUUGCAGAAAGGCAUUCAAUUCCGCUGGCCCAUGUAAGACCAGUCAACCAAGUGGCACUUCUUCCUUCCUGGAAUGCCAUACCAAUUCGUAAUGGAAGAGGUUAUCCAACUAUAACUGGAGGCUAUUUCCCUGAAAUAGUUAUGACAGAUAUGAACAUGAAGCAACGAAAGAAGAUGUUCAAGAAAUUUCGAGGGAAAGAGAUUUAUAUGACCAUGGCUUAUAGCAGGGGAGAUCCCCUUGUUCCAUCCAGGAUUCAGCACAGCAUGCAUUAUGGUCAUGACCCUCUACUAUACUACUCACAGACAGCUGGCCAUAUUCUGUCUAGUCAACAUUUUUACCCUCAACAUUCAUCUCAAAGACAAGGUCGGGGAUAUGGGAUGCCCAGGGAUUCGUCUCACUUAAUAAGCAAGCAAAACUUGCCAAAUCCUAAAGUUGGGUUUUGCUCUGGCUCAGGCAGAAAGUGCUGCCAGAGUUAUGAUAAUGUCUCCUAUAGGUCUCGUUCUUUUAGGCGUAGCCAUCGUCAGAUGCAUUGCAUGAAUAAGGGAUGCCAAUAUGGUUUUGCUCCAGAGAAUGGAGUGGAAGAAACUGUUACAUUUUAUGCACUUGAAGAAGGGAAUGAGACUGCUUAUUCAACUUUACCUAACAAUGGUGGUCCCACUACAAUGGUUCCUGCUACUUCAGGCUACUGUGUUGCAAGGCAGGGCUAUAACUCAUGCAAACCACCUUUGAAUUCUGGAGACAGUAAUGACCACUGUGAUAAUGGAGGAUAUCAUGGAGAUUAUCUUUAUUCUUCAGAACAAGGCUAUGAAACUUCUAGUGUGUAUACCACAACUGUAUCUACAGCAAACCUGUCUCUUCAGGACAGUGGACCAUCUUCUGUGCCUCAAGACACAGUUACCUCAUACAACUACCCCCAGAAGGUAUUAGAAAAUUCUGCAGCAAUUGCAGUUUCUUGGGCAAGCCAUGUUCCAGUUCCAGUCAUACCGAACUGUGCAGGAGAUAAUGAAGCUCUUCGUACCUCUGAUAUUUCUUCACAGAAUGCCAUACAACCUGGCUUUGUACCUCCACCUGCACAAGGUAGUCCAGCCUAUCUUGAGCCUUCAGCAGCAGGAGCAGCAGGAGCAGCAGCAGCAGCAGCAGCAGCAGCAGCACCAGUGGCCACACCAGUGGCAGCACCACUACCACUGCCGCCUCCACUUCCUCCUCCUCCUCCUGCUACUCUUGAAGCAGGAGAUGCUUCGGGGUUUCCUCUUCCACCACCACCACCACCACCGCCGCCGCCGCCGCCGCCUUAUUCCUAUGAUCCGAGUGGAAGUGAUCUGCCCCAAGAUACAAAAGUUUUACAGUACUAUUUCAAUCUGGGAUUGCAGUGCUAUCAUCACAACUACUGGCAUCCCAUGGUUUAUAUGCCACAUGUGCAGCAGCAGCUGCAGCCGCAGCCGCAGCCGCAGCCCCAGCCGCAGCCGCAGCCACAACCCCAGCCCCAGCCGCAGCCACAGCAGCCGCAACAGCAGCAGCCGCCGCCGCAACAACAGCAGCAACAACAAGAACAGGUUCAUGGAGAGAGUUAUCCAGAUUGUACUGAGCAACCCCUCGUAGACCAAAGUGCUCCUCAGGUGUACAGUGAUGUGGUGAGAGAGGAUGGCACACAGGCAGAUGUAUCAACAAAUGAUACUUUUCCCAUUGCUGAUGCUGUACCUCUCCCUCAUGGAGCAGUCUACUAUCCAGUAAUGACAGAUCCCUAUGGGUCUCCUUUGUUGGGAUUUGAUUCCUAUGUUCCUGUUGCAUCAGAUUAUUCCAGUAUUGCUAUGUGGCAUCCAGUUAAUGCAGCAUGUGGUGCUUCUGCGCAGAUCCAUGGUGCUAUGAAUCCCGGGCCAAUUGGCUAUAUGCUUCUACCUAACUCACCUCAUUAUACACCUCAGAAUUAAGAUUUAGCAAUAUGAAAUACUUUUUUGCUGCCAUCUUUGCUGUUAUGGUUCCUAAAUGUUUUACAUUAGUUCUUAAGUGGUUUAGUUGGGAAGAAUGUUAACUGUCUUUAAAAUUAUUUUACUUUUGAAGUAAAAUAUUUCUUUAAAACAAAGACAUAUUACUUUUUGUUAUGAAUAAGAAAAUUGCAAUGAAUGUACAACUCGUCCCUCUAAUGGGCAAGUUCAUUGGAGCCAGCUUCCUGGUAGCCAGCAUGUUAAAACUGUAUUAACUGAUGGUGCCAACUGAGAAAAGAAAGGAACAAAUACAAGCUAUUUUCCUAUACUAUACAUCUUAAUUAUUUAAAAAGUUAGUAUGAUUUCCAUUUUUCAAGACAUUUAAAGAGACAAAAAAAUCCAAACAGGAGCCUGUGCUCCUGGGUAUUUGUUUAUAUUACAUGAGAGUUCUUCAGAUUUCUUUUAAGAGUCGUCAGAACUGAAUUGUAGCCUGAUAUUAACCAGUUUUGAAGGCACAUGGUGUUCUGCUUUGCAUUUGCUACCAUAUGGUAUUGUUUAAUACUGGAUUUACAUAACUGUCCUACCGCACAGUAUUAUAGUAUCUUUUGCACAAUUUGCAGUAAAUAAAAGCUAGCAUGUAAAAUUGCCAAAA